rnacentral:misc_RNA from 1 species
AUGAAGAACGUAGCGAAAUGCGAUAAGUAAUGUGAAUUGCAGAAUUCAGUGAAUCAUCGAAUCUUUGAACGCACAUUGCGCCCGCCAGUAUUCUGGCGGGCAUGCCUGUUCGAGCGUCAUUUCAACCAUCAAGCCCUGCUUGCGUUGGGGUCCUGCGGCUGCCCGCAGGCCCUGAAAACCAGUGGCGGGCUCGCUAGUCACACCGAGCGCAGUAAUACAUCUCGCUUUGGGCGUGCGGCGGGUUCUUGCCGUUAAACACCCCCUUUUUACCAAGGUUGACCUCGGAUCAGGUAGGAAUACCCGCUGAACUUAAGCAUAUCAAUAAGCGGAGGA